GAUGAACGCUGGCGGCGUGCUUAACACAUGCAAGUCGAACGGUGAACGAGGGAGCUUGCUCCCUCCGGAUCAGUGGCGAACGGGUGAGUAACACGUGAGCAAUCUGCCCCGAACUCUGGGAUAAGCGCUGGAAACGGCGUCUAAUACCGGAUACGACGCGCGAAGGCAUCUUCUGCGCGUGGAAAGAAUUUCGGUUCGGGGUGAGCUCGCGGCCUAUCAGCUAGUUGGUGAGGUAACGGCUCACCAAGGCGACGACGGGUAGCCGGCCUGGGAGGGUGACCGGCCGCACUGGGACUGAGACACGGCCCAGACUCCGACGGGAGGCAGCAGUGGGGAAUAUUGCACAAUGGGGGCAAGCCUGAUGCAGCAACGCCGCGUGAGGGACGACGGCCUUCGGGUUGUAAACCUCUUUUAGUAGGGAAGAAGCGAAAGUGACGGUACCUGCAGAAAAAGCACCGGCUAACUACGUGCCAGCAGCCGCAGUAAAAC
rnacentral:rRNA from 1 species